UACGUAGGGGGCAAGCGUUAUCCGGAUUUACAGGGUGUAAAGGGAGCGUAGGUGGCAAAGUAAGUCAGAUGUGAAAGCCCGUGGCUUAACUGCGGGAUUGCAUCAGAAACUGCUUUGCUAGAGUGCAGGAGAGGUUAUCGGAAUUCCCGGUGUAGCGGUGAAAUGCGUAGAGAUCGGGAGGAACACCAGUGGCGAAGGCGGGUAACUGGACUGCAACUGACGCUGAGGCGCGAAAGUGUGGGGAGCAAACAGGAUUAGAUACCCUGGUA
rnacentral:rRNA from 1 species